ACCGCAUGGUUCAAAAGUGAAAGACGGUCUUGCUGUCACUUAUAGAUGGAUCCGCGCUGCAUUAGCUAGUUGGUAAGGUAACGGCUUACCAAGGCAACGAUGCAUAGCCGACCUGAGAGGGUGAUCGGCCACACUGGAACUGAGACACGGUCCAGACUCCUACGGGAGGCAGCAGUAGGGAAUCUUCCGCAAUGGGCGAAAGCCUGACGGAGCAACGCCGCGUGAGUGAUGAAGGUCUUCGGAUCGUAAAACUCUGUUAUUAGGGAAGAACAUAUGUGUAAGUAACUGUGCACAUCUUGACGGUACCUAAUCAGAAAGCCACGGCUAACUACGUGCCAGCAGCCGCGGUAAUACGUAGGUGGCAAGCGUUAUCCGGAAUUAUUGGGCGUAAAGCGCGCGUAGGCGGUUUUUUAAGUCUGAUGUGAAAGCCCACGGCUCAACCGUGGAGGGUCAUUGGAAACUGGAAAACUUGAGUGCAGAAGAGGAAAGUGGAAUUCCAUGUGUAGCGGUGAAAUGCGCAGAGAUAUGGAGGAACACCAGUGGCGAAGGCGACUUUCUGGUCUGUAACUGACGCUGAUGUGCGAAAGCGUGGGGAUCAAACAGGAUUAGAUACCCUGGUAGUCCACGCCGUAAACGAUGAGUGCUAAGUGUUAGGGGGUUUCCGCCCCUUAGUGCUGCAGCUAACGCAUUAAGCACUCCGCCUGGGGAGUACGACCGCAAGGUUGAAACUCAAAGGAAUUGACGGGGACCCGCACAAGCGGUGGAGCAUGUGGUUUAAUUCGAAGCAACGCGAAGAACCUUACCAAAUCUUGACAUCCUUUGACAACUCUAGAGAUAGAGCCUUCCCCUUCGGGGGACAAAGUGACAGGUGGUGCAUGGUUGUCGUCAGCUCGUGUCGUGAGAUGUUGGGUUAAGUCCCGCAACGAGCGCAACCCUUAAGCUUAGUUGCCAUCAUUAAGUUGGGCACUCUAAGUUGACUGCCGGUGACAAACCGGAGGAAGGUGGGGAUGACGUCAAAUCAUCAUGCCCCUUAUGAUUUGGGCUACACACGUGCUACAAUGGACAAUACAAAGGGCAGCGAAACCGCGAGGUCAAGCAAAUCCCAUAAAGUUGUUCUCAGUUCGGAUUGUAGUCUGCAACUCGACUACAUGAAGCUGGAAUCGCUAGUAAUCGUAGAUCAGCAUGCUACGGUGAAUACGUUCCCGGGUCUUGUACACACCGCCCGUCACACCACGAGAGUUUGUAACACCCGAAGCCGGUGGAGUAACCUU
rnacentral:rRNA from 1 species